GUCUGAGAUCUUGAGAGUUUUCCGCGAAGACUUAAGUUUUUUGGGAAACUUAAUGUCGCGGGUUAUUGGCGGAAUGAAAUGUUGGUUUCAUUUAAAAUCCAACCAAAGCUUAGAGGGGCAUUAAUGCUCGGGGGGGCAU
rnacentral:rRNA from 1 species